rnacentral:lncRNA from 1 species
AAGGUGGGGAGAUGCCACCAUCAGCAGCCUUGGAGGUGCCACCAAUGCCCUGGAGACGCCACCGCCAAGGUGGGGAGAUGCCACCACCACUGGAGAUACCACUACCACCCAGCCCUGGAGAGAUGUCACCACCAAGGUGGGGAGAUGCCACUAUCAGCCCUGGAGAUGUCACCACCAGGGCAGGGAGAUGUCACCACCACUGGAGAUGCCACCACCACUGGAGAUACCGCUACCAACCACACCUGGAGAUGCCACCACCAGGGUGGGGAGAUGCCACCAUCAUCCCAGGAGAUGCCACCACCGGUCCUGGAGAUGCCACCAGUGCAGUGAAAUGGCCCCAUCACAAGCCCUGGAGAUGCCACCACCAGCUCACGUCCCCCCCGUGUCAUUGUCCCCUUCCUCCUGGCGCUGCCCGGACCCCCCCUC